CACGUAGGGGGCAAGCGUUAUCCGGAUUUACUGGGUGUAAAGGGAGCGUAGACGGAAUUGCAAGUCUGAUGUGAAAACCCGAGGCUCAACCACGGGAGUGCAUUGGAAACUGGCGGGCUGGAGUGCCGGAGAGGUAAGCGGAAUUCCUAGUGUAGCGGUGAAAUGCGUAGAUAUUAGGAGGAACACCAGUGGCGAAGGCGGCUUACUGGACGGCAACUGACGCUGAGGCUCGAAAGCGUGGGGAGCAAACAGG
rnacentral:rRNA from 1 species